AAGAUUAAGCCAUGCAUGUCUAAGUAUAAGCGAAUUUAUACAGUGAAACUGCGAAUGGCUCAUUAAAUCAGUUAUAGUUUAUUUGAUAGUACCUUUCUACUCGGAUAUCCGUGGUAAUUCUAGAGCUAAUACGUGCUAAAAACCCCGACUGUUUGGGAGGGGUGUAUUUAUUAGAUAAAAAUCAAUGCCCUCGGGCUCUUUGAUGAUUCAUAAUAACUUCUCGAAUCGCAU
rnacentral:rRNA from 1 species